CCCUUAGAUGUUCUGGGCCGCACGCGCGCUACACUGACGAAUGCAACGAGUUCUAUCCUUGGCCGGAAGGCCUGGGUAAUCUGUGAACGUGCAUCGUGAUAGGGAUAGAUUAUUGCAAUUAUUAAUCUUGAACGAGGAAUUCCUAGUAAACGCAAGUCAUCAGCUUGCAUUGAUUACGUCCCUGCCCUUUGUACACACCGCCCGUCGCACCUACCGAUCGAAGGUAAUGAUGAGCCCUCAGGAUUGUGGCCUCGUCGCGUCAGCGUCUUGGCUGCGAGAAUCUGUGCAAAUCCCUACCUUUAGAGGAAGGUGAAGUCGUAACA
rnacentral:rRNA from 1 species